rnacentral:rRNA from 1 species
GAUGAACGCUGGCGGCGUGCCUAAUACAUGCAAGUCGAGCGAACGGACGAGAAGCUUGCUUCUCUGAUGUUAGCGGCGGACGGGUGAGUAACGCGUGGAUAACCUACCUAUAAGACUGGGAUAACUUCGGGAAACCGUAGCUAAUACCGGAUAAUAUUUUGAACCGCAUGGUUCAAAAGUGAAAGACGGUCUUGCUGUCACUUAUAGAUGGAUCCGCGCUGCAUUAGCUAGUUGGUAAGGUAACGGCUUACCAAGGCAACGAUGCAUAGCCGACCUGAGAGGGUGAUCGGCCACACUGGAACUGAGACACGGUCCAGACUCCUACGGGAGGCAGCAGUAGGGAAUCUUCCGCAAAGGGCGAAAGCCUGACGGAGCAACGCCGCGUGAGUGAUGAAGGUCUUCGGAUCGUAAAACUCUGUUAUUAGGGAAGAACAUAUGUGUAAGUAACUGUGCACAUCUUGACGGUACCUAAUCAGAAAGCCACGGCUAACUACGUG